AACGCUCGCCCUCUUAGAUUCUAAGCCCACCCUCUAAAAGCGUGACAGCCGUUGGGUCAUAAGUCUAUAGGGCAGAGUGCUCACGUGGCUCGUUUUCACGACCCAGAGUUCCUCUGACUAGAGAAUUUUUUUCCCUUUCUGCAGGGAGGCAUUAUGGGUUUGUGGGUGGUUUCCCCCCCCCACUGGGAAAGGAAGUGUCUACGUGGCCUGCGGAAACAGGAUAGGCGGAAAUGAGCUAAGGUUCCCGCGAGUGGGGAAGCGCGAGGUCAGAUCUCGGGCCACGCCCCCGAGCCUGUUGCGCAACUCUCGAGCCAAGGGGGAAAAAAAACGGCGCAGUUGGGGUUUUGGUGUGUGCGCGAGCUGGCACGUAUGCUCUCUACCCUGCAGGUACUGUCUCUCUAUGAUGGAAGAAUCAGGAUGGUGAAGAAACAACACUUGUUGAAGACCUCCUAUGAGCCACCCUGUAUGACUCCACAUCUGUUUAAUCCAAUAACUGGCCUGUGGAUUAGGUGACAGUCAGUUUCUAGAUGUUGAAAGUGAUGAUCACUCGACUGUAGAAGUUAACAAACAAUGGUGAGGAAGAACCAAAGCUCAAGCCAAACAACUCUGAGGCACUCAGUGAAGAUGAAGAGGAAAUCCAACAGCCAAAAGAGGCAAGUAGUUAUUUUGCAAUUCAGCUUAGUUACUGGGACCCUGUCUUCUCACCCCUUAUGAUGUCUCCCUAGAAAAGCACUAUUGCCUGAUUUUUGAAUUCUUAACUACCAAUUAGUCUAUGACAACCUAACUGGAGUACUUCUUGGUUAUGGGGAGAGCCAGGAGCAACCAUUUCUGCUUGUCAAAGGAUUCUCAUAUUUACUAACUGGCUAAUGCUAUAAUACCUGCUAAUAUAUUUUCAAUGCUUCUUCAAUGCAAGGCACUAUUGCCCAUUUUCUUAAUCUCUACUGCCUUACAGGGAUUAAUGUCCCAAAAGACAGAUAAGGAAUGAGCAUCCAAGAGGUUAAAGCACUUAGCUCAACUGUGACCAGCCUGGGAAUGAUUUUUGGGGCUCCCAAUUGCCCUCAAUUGGGGCCUGAAUUGUGGGAAGAGGAGUAGGGAGGGAGGAGCCAAAAAGAGAAUGAAACCGGGUCCCUCCCUAGCUGUACUCACCAUGUGCUGGCGCCUCUGCCUUCUUCGAAGUCUCAUAAAUUCCUUAUGCUGACGAGAGACGAAAUUGACAGCGGCAUAUUCCAGCAGGGCAGCAAAAACAAACAGUAGGCACACGGCCAUCCAGAUGUCAAUGGCCUUCACAUAGGAUACCUACAGACAGCCAUGGACAGAGUGGUUAGGCUUCUUGGAUUCCUCCCAUGGCCCAUCCAGGAUAUUCCAGCCCAGCUGUUCUUCAGCUUUAAUCUGAAUUUCUUCUGGCUAUUAAAUAAGCUUUCCACAACAUGUUCUGUUAUCUGAAGGCCAAUGUCGGAGAGAUCCAGCCACUCAUCAUCCUUCAGUUGUCUGCACUCUCCACCUGUUACUCCAUCUGUUUUUCCUCCCUAUGCUUCUUUUCCUUUAUUC